rnacentral:rRNA from 1 species
CACAUCCACUCAUUUAUUUUCCCCAAGCGUUGACCCAGCCUCAUCCCUCUCUACAUCCCCGCAUGCGCUCCGCCAUACCCACCUCAAGCUCAUGCGCGCCUCCAGCCGCCCCUGUUCUCUGAUGUCCCGGUGCUCCAGUGCACUUUCUGUUGCCUCCCAACGCCUCCGCCAUGGGAUCUGCCACAAACUGCUACAAGGCCGGCUGGGCACACGAGACAGAGGAAGGACAGUAGUCUUGCAUGCUCCAACGAUGGCUACCGGACGUUGCAGUCAUGGUGGCUGGGAGCUGCGGCGUUCAGCGGCCAAGAUGCUCCAACCACGGCGGGGUUAUGAAGUGGUUCCGGUGCUAGAACCGGCGCUGUAGGAUGCUGCAACGGCUGCCACGGCUACUGGCACCGGCGACACUCGACAGAAAAAGCUACAACCAGCACCCACCGAUGCUGGACCCGGCCACGAAGAGUGCUGGAACCGGCAUCAAAUUUUGCUACGACCGGCGAGUUUUUUGUUACCACCAUCUUGUUCUUCAUCAGACAUGAGAAAUUGACGGGUCUGUUUUGCUGCUAUCUUCAUCAAUUUUUGCUACAAUUGGCGAGUUUUUUUGCUACAACCAUCUUUUCCUUCAUCGCUCGUGAGAACUGAGAAAUUGGCGAGGUCCUUUUUGCUGCAAUCGUCAUUAAUUUUUGCUACGAGCGGCGAGUUUUUUUG